rnacentral:rRNA from 1 species
UACGUAGGGGGCAAGCGUUGUCCGGAUUUAUUGGGCGUAAAGAGCGUGUAGGCGGCCAUGUAGGUCCGUUGUGAAAACUCGAGGCUCAACCUCGAGACGCCGAUGGAAACCAUGUGGCUAGAGUCCGGAAGAGGAGAGUGGAAUUCCUGGUGUAGCGGUGAAAUGCGCAGAUAUCAGGAAGAACACCCGUGGCUAAGGCGGCUCUCUAGUACGGUACUGACGCUGAAGACGCGAAAGCGUGGGGAGCGAACAGG